rnacentral:lncRNA from 1 species
AGUAAGAAUAUUGUUGGUGUUCUUAACUCAAGAGAAAUGUUUUCAAUUAUUUAUUCAUUAAAUUUUGAAAACCCGGCUAAGUGAAUCAUAGAAUGUUAAGCACUACACCAUGACUUAAGAUUAGAUUCAAGGAGACCUAUUGAGAAUAGAUUUCUUGUAGGCUUUGAGCAUCAGAAGGAUUAGCACUGCUACUCCGAUUCAAAGAUAAGGUUAAACGACAGGCUUUGCCUAUACAGGUGGGCUUACUUUCCAAAUGUACAAAGUAUGAUUGAGUUAUUAAGCUCUAAAUGUUUCAAUGAAAUGCAAAUUGUUUAUUUAAUGUAAUGAAAACUGUUUAUCCAAUAAAAUGUUUAUGUGCACUCUGCUCUGUUUAAGGCUCGCGCAGUUAAUCAAUUGAGGUUCUCUUAUGACCUAAUACGUUGUUUGAGAAUUGUGUACACUUGUUAGUUGAUCUCCAUCGGGCUCUAACCAGAGGCGUUAUAAGGGUGCUCGGCUGGAUGUGUUCCGGAGCAUGAGAAAUAUCAGGCCUGCCUGGGUAGCGUCCCGAGGUCAAAGUAAACUUGUCUGGGUUACGCCCUCAGUUCAAGUCAGCGGGAGACAGAGAUCCGUCGGUGGCUAGAGGUCCGGGAUCACAGCGAGUAACAGAAAGGGAGUGUGACAUGUGCGCACAAAUGAAAGAAAAUGUUUUAACAUGCUUAGAAGUACUUCUUUCAAUUUAAAACCUUCUAAGUCAUGUCAAGUAUGAUUGGAUAAACUGUCUUUAUUAAAAUAUGAGAUGUUUCAGAAAAUGCAUGCCCACUAAGUACAUUAGUACUUAGCCCAAAAAUACUUUCAAAUGUUUUCAGGUUGGCUGGCCGGUGCUGACGGGACGGAGCNCAAGAGAAAUGUUUUCAUUUAUUUAUUCAUUAAAUUUUGAAAACCCGGCUAAGUGAAUCAUAGAAUAUUAAGCACUACACCACGACUUAAGAUUAGAUUCAACGAGACCUAUUAAGAAUAGAUUUCUUGUAGGCUUUGAGCAUCAGGAUGAUUAGCACUGCUUUUCCGAUUCAGAGAUAAGGUUAAACGACAGGCUUUGCCUAUCCAGGUGGGCUUACUUUCCAAAUGUACAAAGUAUGAUUGAGUUAUUAAGCUCUAAAUGUUUCAAUGAAAUGCAAAUUGUUUAUUUAAUGUAAUGAAAACUGUUUAUCCAAUAAAAUGUUUAUGUGCACUCUGCUCUGUUUAAGGCUCGCGCAGUUAAUCAAUUGAGGUUCUCUUAUGACCUAAUACGUUGUUUGAGAAUUGUGUACACUUGUUAGUUGACUCGGUGGGUUGAUCUCCAUCGGGCUCUAACCAGAGGCGUUAUAA